rnacentral:rRNA from 1 species
GUAACGGGGCUGAAAUAUAGCACCGAAGCUGCGGCAUCAGAAUUUAUUCUGUUGGGUAGGGGAGCGUUGUGUAAGCGGAAGAAGGUUCAUCGAGAGGUGGGCUGGACGUAUCACAAGUGCGAAUGCUGACAUAAGUAACGAUAAAACGGGUGAAAAACCCGUUCGCCGGAAGACCAAGGGUUCCUGUCCAACGUUAAUCGGGGCAGGGUGAGUCGGCUCCUAAGGCGAGGCUGAAAAGCGUAGUCGAU